rnacentral:tRNA from 1 species
GAGGCUGUGGCUCAGUGGCAGAGCGCUUGCCUAGCAUGUGCAAGGAACUGGGUUCAAUCCUUAGCACCACA